rnacentral:miRNA from 1 species
GUAGAGGUACGAGCUGUGACGG